rnacentral:lncRNA from 1 species
CCAAAGCAUGAGGACUCCAAUGUGCCAGAACCCUAAAAUUGGCUGAAAAGAGUUUUCAACACUUAUUUUAGAUUUUUGAUGUUUUUUUAGGAAUGUAACGAGUAAUUUAGAUUAUCGCAUGAUAAAUUCAAAAAACUCGAGACUCAUUAGGAGGCGUAGUAGAUAGCACGAUAUUUCAAAAUAUCGAUUCGGGUAAGAAUUCCUAACCCUAUUCUCAAUUACGUAAAUUGAGGAUUAAUAAUCGAUAAUUGUGUAUUUUAUAAAAAUUAAAAAAAAAACUCU